CAGGACUUGACAUCCCUCUGACCGGCGUGUAACGGCGCCCUCCCUUCGGGGCAGAGGAGACAGGUGGUGCAUGGUUGUCGUCAGCUCGUGUCGUGAGAUGUUGGGUUAAGUCCCGCAACGAGCGCAACCCUUGUCAUUAGUUGCCAGCAGGUUAAGCUGGGCACUCUAGUGAGACUGCCGGGGACAACUCGGAGGAAGGUGGGGAUGACGUCAAAUCAUCAUGCCCCUUAUGUUCUGGGCUACACACGUGCUACAAUGGCCGGUACAGAGAGACGCAAUGUCGCGAGGCGGAGCAAAACUCUAAAACCGGUCCCAGUUCGGAUUGCAGGCUGAAACUCGCCUGCAUGAAGUCGGAGUUGCUAGUAAUCGCGAAUCAGAAUGUCGCGGUGAAUGCGUUCCC
rnacentral:rRNA from 1 species